GCCGGUCGCGGUGGCGGGCGCCUGUAAUCCCAACUAAUUGGGAGGCUGAGAUGGGGAGGAUCACUUGAGCCCAGGAGUUCUGGGCUGUAGUGCUCUAUGCCGAUCGAGUGUCCACACUAAGUUCGGCAUCAAUAUGGUGACCUCCCGGGAGCAGAGGACCACCAGGUUGCCUAAGGAGGAGUGAACCGGCCCAGGUCGGAAACAGAGCAGGUCAAAACUCCCGUGCUGAUCAGUAGUGGGAUCGCGCCUGUGAAUAGCCACUGCACUCCAGCCUGGGCAACAUAGUGAGACCCCGUCUUU
rnacentral:SRP_RNA from 1 species